GAUAAACAUGGCAACCUUGAAAAAAAAAAUGGUAGAAAGUUGAAAGGACUUUGACGUAUUUCGAUGAAUUUCAAGCAGUCGUGCAGUGGGGAAGGUUAAGUGUAAUUAAACUUACAUUGGGCAACAUAAUUUUUCUGAAAUUAUCAAAGAAUUCACUGGGUUUUCUUCUUCAUUUGGUCUGUUUUCGUCCAUUUCAAAACUCUGGACGCCGAUGAACGGACAAUAAAAACAACCAGGGUUGUUUCUACACAUCAUCUAGCCGCAUUCUUUCGGCUCAAAAAAUUGGUGGCAGCAACCUUCUUCAAGGUCCGUGUGAACAAUUGUACGUGGCAAACAUCACGUCUACACUCUACAGUUUUUAAACAGUUGGACUCGAUACGAAAAAGCUCGAUAAAUAAAACCGAGAAAUGUUGAAGCUGCUGACUGAAGGAGAAAUGUACCUUGUUGGAAACGCGAUCUGCAAAGGUGCACAUUAAGAUUAGGUGAACUAAAGCAAACAAUAAAAAGGGCAGACUUGUUGCUAUGUCGGGUUCCAUGCCAAACAGGUAAAAGCUCGAAUUAAUGAUGGCAACAAAAUAAAAGGCCAUAAAAUAUCUUUGCUUCACUGCAAACACGAAACGUCUGACGUUUUCGUGUUGGCUGUUCAAUAGCUGAAUUUCGCUCCGCUCGAUUUCCGUCUGGAUCAGCUCAAAUGCAAGAGACGAAGCGUAGCAGUGAAUGACAAACGAAAGCCAAGCAGUCAUCGGAUAGAUGGCUGAUAAAGUCGAAAUGGAAUUGAUGAAGACACGGUGGUCAAAACAAGUUCUCGUGCUCAGUUCGUUAUACGUGACCAAAUAUAUAAUUCCAGACACCUGUAAUCAUUCAAGCUCUCACCACCAAGAUGAUGUAAACGAUUCCGAACGAAGACAUUAUGCGAAUUCGAUUGCAAUUGUUUGCUGCGAAAACGAGUUUCAUUCGAUUGAAACUUUCCAGCAGAUCGAUUGGUCGCAUGGCAGUCAGCAAGAUAAUUGCAAUUCGGCGAUGGCGUCUUCGAGAAACUGAAUCAUCAAAAACAAUGACAACACUCUGCAAGGUUUAAAAAGAUAAAUUUAUUGCAGGACUUGAUAACGUGAGGCAGCUGUGAACGCCAUGUCACUUUCUCCGGUGCCAUUUUUGGAUUGCAUCCAUUAGCUACACUAUAACGCUCGGAAUAACAAGAAGUCGACUCAUGUCUAAUAGACGAACGCAAGUGUCCAACGCGAGCGCUGGAAAAUGUGCAGCAUAUCGAUCCCUCUCGCACGAAGGCAGUUUGACGUAACCGUAUGAGGAAUAGAAACUAGUCCUACAAGUGCCUCAGCAAGAUUUGCACUUGCAUAGCACGUGACAGGUGCGCUUAUAUCUGACAUGUUACGUGGAGAGAAACAACCACCUCUUUUCAGGAAUGCCAGCUGUUUAUAGCGCUUGCUAGAUACAGAUGAACCAUUAUGGUGACUUUGCAGGUAUGCUUGUACACAGAUACAAAAGAUGAGCACUGUAAUAAUUGUAAUCAGCUGGAUUGUGGUCGCUUGUGGAAACGAACGAGGACCAUCGCGGCCUGGCCAACAAAAACUAGGCAUUAGUGUGUUUCCGUAACAAAUAUUACUCUGACAGUGUGUGUGAAUCAGGUAAAAAUUUUCAAGUGCCUGGAAGAACCCACCUCGGUGAUUAUAGUGUGUGUGUUAACAGCAUUAAAUUGAUGUAGAGCAAAGUUUUUUCUCAGAAACUUCAAACUGGCAGAGGAUGAAGAAGUAAGUAAGGGAUGUUCCAAUCACCUACUCGAGAUCAGUUGUUUAAUCAAAAUCAAACUAUAUGUGAGAAACAAACUUACUUGUGGAAAAAGCUUCCUACUAACGUUGAAGUAACCGUUGGCGCUUAUCUGUGGGAUUGUGUGGGUCAUCUCCCAAACUAAUGUGUUCAUCUAGACACGAGAAAAAAAGAAAUUUUAUCUACUCUUUAGCGGUACUUAUGACAUUUGUUAUACCUGCUGCUUCUGUAAUCCUUUCAGUGGCUCGUCGCAUUUUAGGCUUAACAACUCUUUCAUUGCAUUGUCGGCCUGUUAUAAAGCAACAAAAUCUUCAUAUCUCAUUGGGAGGUAAAGCAAGUGACCGUUAAAUUAAAUAAAACAAAUAAAGAGAAAAUUAUAUCUGGCAAGGUUAUGUGGUUGUCCAGUCCAAACAAGUAAAAACUUGAAUUGAUGAUGGCCACAAAAUAAGACGUGGUAGCAAGAAGCAAGUAGCAGCCAAAACUAUCGUUAAUGCCAUCAACUGUUUCAUUGGCGAGAAUAUGUCUUUCUUUGAACGCAAGUAUUAAUUGGCUGCUGUCUUGUUCUCGGCCAUUCAUUAGCUGGAUCUCGUUGCGCUUUACUUCGGUCUGGAUCGAUUCGAAUGCAAGAGAAGAAGCGUAGCAAUGAGUUAAAAACAGAACUAAAGCAGUCAGUGGAUAAACGAUUGAUAUAGUCGCCAUGAAGCUGAUGAAGAUUCGUUGAAUGGAGGAAGUUCCCACUGCAAAGUGGUAACCCGUAGAGAUGGCGGUAAGUCCCAAAAUCUACAUACCAAAUGUAAUACUACGAGCAAAAUUAUGGCCACUACCCCCAAUGAGGACAUAUUGCGAAUUCGGAUGUAAUUUUCUUCGACAAAGACGCCCUCCAAACGCUGAAAAAUGUUUCUUAAACGAAUCCAUUUCGUACGGAUGAUGGUUAGCAAAAUAAUUUAGAUCCACCGGCUUGUUCAAGUGAACCCGGCUCCCAUUUAGUGAACAAAUAGCACAAAAGGUUAAUCUGUCCGGCUGCGUGUGACGAAAAACAGAGAAUGCCAUAAGCUAACAUUACCCACCGAUGGCAUAAACUGGAAAACGUUGAUACAUCAGGAAGAGAUACACCAAGAAAACGGAGCCAAAUGAUCAGAGGACGAAUACUCCAUGCCCAGCUGUUAAUCGUGGUCGAUUCUACUUCUAUCUCACGGGAGGACGAACUGACUGGGAUAGCCAUUACUGUCGGACUAACACAAAAAGUUGCAUUUAAUACAUUGAUGAAAUUUGGUUCUUCUCUUGGGUGUGGCAUUUGUGUAAACACACUGGAAUAUGCAGGAUGGCUGGGUACGUCAAACAAUCACCAUGCGACAGCCAGUAAAGUGUUGUGUUACGCAAUACUGGUAUCGAUUUAUCACUCUCUUGUUAAAAAUGGACAUCAAUAUCAUUAUUGAGUAUCAUUAUAUCAAUACCCUUGUCCCAAAUUUGGUUGUGUCUGCCUAUUUGGAGGUAUACAAAUGCUAACAAAAUGAACACAAAUGUAAAAAACUGGCGAGCAAAAACUUUUGAAACGUUUGUAAUGAAGUGUUAUCAGUUCCUAUAACAAAGUUAAUCUUUUUUUCACA
rnacentral:lncRNA from 1 species